UACGUAGGGGGCAAGCGUUAUCCGGAUUUACUGGGUGUAAAGGGAGCGUAGGUGGCAAGGCAAGUCAGAUGUGAAAGCCCGGGGCUCAACCCCGGUAUUGCAUUUGAAACUGUCUAGCUAGAGUGCAGGAGAGGUAAGCGGAAUUCCUAGUGUAGCGGUGAAAUGCGUAGAUAUUAGGAGGAACACCAGUGGCGAAGGCGGCUUACUGGACUGUAACUGACACUGAGGCUCGAAAGCGUGGGGAGCAAACAGG
rnacentral:rRNA from 1 species